CUCAAUCUUCAUUUGCAGAGUACAUAUUCAUGAGCGUCAGAUAGUUGACUUAUGAAAAAAAGCUUACAAGGUUCAUAUGAUGAGAAUCAUCUUCUAUCUGUAAUUUUUUGUUCUAUGGAAAAAUAAUUUGUUUUACUGGUAACUGGAAUGUAGUUUAUCUUGCGUAGAAUGUUCAUCAUGAUCAAAUUAUCAAAGAGCUAAUAUGAGAUUUGAUUAAUUAUGCUUACCACAGGAGAGCCGCUGGAACUAACCCAUGACUCAUAGAUGGUUCGUGAUGAGUUAUCAGGGUCUUGAACCUUCAAAAAGAUGAGCAGUUAAUCUUAUUGUGAUAAGUGCGAGGAAUUACUUGGCCUAUUUUUAAAACAGACAAGAUACUGCUGCACUGGUCAGAAUAGGAUUGUGGGGCUGGCCCUUCAACUAAAGAACAAAUAUUAGACGUUGCACCUAUCGAUUAUUAAAGUUCCAGUGGCUAUUUAAUUAAAAUAUGUUCGUAACUUUUGAUAAAAAAAUAUAUAUAUAUGUUCUUAACUUUGUUGAUUCUUAUCCAGCUUCUCCUCAUUGCCCACUUCCGGAUGGAGCCUAAGCCUCCUUCAAAGGGAAUGGUAAUCCACUUUGACUGCUAGUGAAUAUGCAGUGAUCAUUAGAGGAUUGAUAAAAACCAUACUCUUGGAGCUUACUGGUAAACUUUAUAUUCCAUCGCCUGCUAUCCUGUUUAAGCUCAUAUAAGGACAUCUUUAAUUUGUAGACCUAUGUAUGGGUAAUUUUACCGUGAGUUGGUUAAUUCAUGCUAGCAUUUGACAUGAAAUGAUAAGUGAAUACUUAAUUUACACACUAAUUUAUUAA